rnacentral:tRNA from 1 species
AAAUAAGAAGCAAAUAUUGCAUUUAAUUUCGACUUAAAAGACUGAGCCUAAUAACUCCUUAUUUA